GGUAAAGAUGUUAUCUUUAGGCUCUGCUCAGAUCCGUUUCCCGGACUCACAUUAAGCCUGGUCCUAGACUAAAUGUCAAGGUAUUCGUCGUCGGAAGAUGAGGAAUCAUCGGACCAAAGCGCAGUGUGGAAACAACGCAGCGGUCCAGCCCAACUGGAAGACUGGUGCAGAAUGCCGUGUCCAAGGGGCUAACUGGCAUAGCCUGCUCAGAUGAGCAGUGACAAUGGAGUUCAGGGACUCGGAGGAACCUUGAGCCAAAGUGGUUAAACAGCAUUGACUUCCCACACCAUAAGGCCAGUGACCAAUAUGCAGAAAAGCGUCCGGAAUGUCCACCUCUGGUUCCCACUCCUGCCUCCCACCUCUGGUUCCCACUCCUGCCUCCCACCCCUGGUUCCCACUCCUGCCUCCCACCCCUGCCUCCCACCCCUGGUUCCCACUCCUGCAUUCCACUCACAGGAGGAAUUUAAUAGGAGCCUGAGACACCUGCAUCUGCCUGUGGGGAAUCUGCUCUAUGAGUGUGUUAAUGCUGAACCGACAAUAACAUCACAGCCAGUAGCAUCCCAGGUAAAAUUGGACGGAAAGGAAUAUUUAUUUAUGGCUGUACCAUUUUCAAUGUAUUUGAAGAUAAUGAGCUCCCAGUGGCUGGAAGAAUGUGGAUACUCUGUGGACCACAGAGGCACUGAUGUCAGUGUUGAAGAGCCAUGGUUAUCAGCAAGCCCUGGUGGAAUACUGAAAUCCAAGGAGUUGUUGAAGAUCAAGUGUCCUGUCAUGGGGUAGAGGCUGUGAUUUUCUGGAUGAUGUCUUCAAUAGGAAAGUGAUGUGAAGGUGAUGGAGGACUACACCUCGACUGCAACCACAUGGGCCACGUGGCUACAACAUGCAGGUACAAAUUGGUCUGUUUCGCACAGGACUGAGAGAAAGUAAGGUGUUCAUCUGGACUGCAUCCCAGCAAGUUGUCAUCCCUGUUCCCUAUGAUACACAGUCCUGUGCAGAGGCUGUCCUGAGGUUGAAGGCAUUCUACUCAACACACAUGCUGACAUUUAUUGUUGAGGAGCAUCAGGCAGAUUGUCACUGAGUGACAAAUAUAUAUAUGCAGCUCUGUAGAAGUAUGUAGUCAGAUGUCUCACCUGUUUGCAGUUACUAUUAAAACCUUGUUUUUCAAUUAAAA